GCACUGCUGAGGAGUCCCACACUAGGACGAAACAGCCGUUUAGUGC
rnacentral:hammerhead_ribozyme from 1 species